rnacentral:rRNA from 1 species
GACGAACGCUGGCGGCGUGCUUAACACAUGCAAGUCGAACGGUAAGGCCCCUUCGGGGGCACACGAGUGGCGAACGGGUGAGUAAAACGUGAGCAGCCUGCCCUUGCCGCUGGGAUAACAGUUGGAAACAGCUGCUAUUACCGGAAACGACCUUCGAUGACAUCAUAUCGAGGUGGAAAGCGUUUUAGCGGUCAAGGAUGGGCUGGCGGCCCAUGAGCGUGGUGGUGAGGUAAGGGCUCACGAAGGCUGCGUCGGGUAGCCGGCAUGGGAGGGCGACCGGCGACACUGGGACUGAGAAACGGCGCAGACUCCUACGGGAGGCAGCAGUGGGGAAUAUUACACAAUGGGCGCAAGCCUGAUGCAGCGACGCCGCGUGCGGGAUGACGGCCUUCGGGUUGUAAACCGCUUUCAGUUCCGACGAUGCGCAAGUGACGGUAGGAACAGAAGAAGGACCGGCCAACUACGUGCCAGCCGCCGCGGUAA